CCUACGGGUGGCAGCAGUGAGGAAUAUUGGUCAAUGGGCGCGAGCCUGAACCAGCCAAGUCGCGUGAGGGAAGACGGUCCUAUGGAUUGUAAACCUCUUUUGUCGGGGAGCAAAAGACGCCACGCGUGGCGUUCCGAGAGUACCCGAAGAAAAAGCAUCGGCUAACUCCGUGCCAGCAGCCGCGGUAAUACGGAGGAUGCGAGCGUUAUCCGGAUUUAUUGGGUUUAAAGGGUGCGCAGGCGGUCUGUUAAGUCAGCGGUCAAAGCCCGGGGCUCAACCCCGGCCCGCCGUUGAAACUGGCAGUCUCGAGUUGGAGAGAAGUAUGCGGAAUGCGCGGUGUAGCGGUGAAAUGCAUAGAUAUCGCGCAGAACUCCGAUUGCGAAGGCAGCAUGCCGGCUCCACACUGACGCUGAGGCACGAAAGCGUGGGUAUCGAACAGGAUUAGAUACCCUUGUAGUC
rnacentral:rRNA from 1 species